rnacentral:piRNA from 1 species
UCAAAUGUAUUUGUAAAGCUGUAAAAUUUC